rnacentral:rRNA from 1 species
CACGUAGGGUGCGAGCGUUGUCCGGAAUUAUUGGGCGUAAAGAGCUCGUAGGCGGUGUGUCGCGUCGGCCGUGAAAACCUGCAGCUUAACUGUGGGCUUGCGGUCGAUACGGGCAUCACUGGAGUUCGGCAGGGGAGACUGGAAUUCCUGGUGUAGCGGUGAAAUGCGCAGAUAUCAGGAGGAACACCGGUGGCGAAGGCGGCGACCUGGGACGAUACUGACGCUGAGGUGCGAAAGCGUGGGGAGCAAACAGG